CAAUUCCUACUGAUCCUUCGGUUCUCAGCCUAGCGAUCACCUCCUCCAGGAAGUUCUCCUGGCCUCCCCCUAGCCUGGGGGCAGAGCCUCGGACUCUGAAAGCCUUUCAACAAAGCACUGGCUGUCCUCUCAGCCCGUCACCUGUGGGCAUGAAGAUGUCAGCUCCCUGGCCAACCACUCAGGUGCCAUUCACACAAAUGUGUGCGUGGGGGAUGGAAGGCAGCGCACAGAAGCCUGCUCUGGCUUGCCCGGCUCAGCACAUUGAAAUCUAGAAAGGAAGAGGGGAUGAGCAAAGAGGAGGAGCACGGUGCCUACCAGGAGCCGCACACCUUGCUACACGCUCUCUAUGUGGGCGAUUGUUUGCGCUCACAGUGAAUCUGGGAAAUAGAUUCCGCAUGCCCCCUUUCCAGAUGAGGAAACUGAGGCUUGGAGAGAUUCCAGAAUUUGCAGCUCCAAGGUCAUGCAGCUCCAAGUAGCAGAUGAGGUUUCUUGACCUGAGGCCAGUGCUCCCUCUGUGACUUUACAGCUCCUGGGAGAAUGAGCUGGGCAGCCCUGGCCGGGGCUAUGGUAGCUCCAGCUGGCCCCUCGUCUAGUCUUGCUGCUGUCACCAGUCCCGAGAGGCCCUCCCACUCUUUCAGGAGUCACGUCUCCUAGGUAGCACUGCAUGGAGUCCGUCGUCUUGGCCCCUGACUGCUCAGCUGACCACUUGGCCCCUGUGGAGCCCAGCCCAGGACCCUGAGGGACAGGCAGCAAGAGAGGCCUCGAGGCAGGAGGAGGCUAUCAGAGGCUGGGUAGAGGCUGCCUCUGCCACUGCGGGGACAUCUGACAUGAGUGUGCUAUAUGGAGCUGCUGCUCUCUGGCCGUUGCUUGACCCUGAGCCCUGGGUCACUAGAAAGAGUAGG
rnacentral:lncRNA from 1 species